GACGUACUCCCUCCGUUCCAAAUUACUUAUCACGGGUAUGAAUGUAUCUAAAUGUAUUUUAGUUCUAGAUACGUCCAUUUCUACGACAAGUAAUUUGGAAUGGAGGAAGUACCUA
rfam:Triticum aestivum genome assembly, contig: Triticum_aestivum_CS42_TGACv1_scaffold_114537_2AS